GAUGAACGCUGGCGGCGUGCCUAAUACAUGCAAGUCGAGCGAACAGACGAGGAGCUUGCUCCUCUAACGUUAGCGGCGGACGGGUGAGUAACACGUGGAUAACCUACCUAUAAGACUGGGAUAACUUCGGGAAACCGGAGCUAAUACCGGAUAAUAUAUUGAACCGCAUGGUUCAAUAGUGAAAGACGGUUUUGCUGUCACUUAUAGAUGGAUCCGCGCCGCAUUAGCUAGUUGGUAAGGUAACAGCUUACCAAGGCAACGAUGCGUAGCCGACCUGAGAGGGUGAUCGGCCACACUGGAACUGAGACACGGUCCAGACUCCUACGGGAGGCAGCAGUAGGGAAUCUUCCGCAAUGGGCGAAAGCCUGACGGAGCAACGCCGCGUGAGUGAUGAAGGUCUUCGGAUCGUAAAACUCUGUUAUUAGGGAAGAACAAAUGUGUAAGUAACUAUGCACGUCUUGACGGUACCGAAUCAGAAAGCCACGGCUAACUACGU
rnacentral:rRNA from 1 species